UACGUGAGGGUGCAAGCGUUGUCCGGAAUUAUUGGGCGUAAAGGAGCUCGUAGGCGGUCUGUCACGUCGGCUGUGAAAACCCGAGGCUCAACCUCGGGCCUGCAGUCGAUACGGGCAAACUAGAGUACUGCAGGGGAGACUGGAAUUCCUGGUGUAGCGGUGGAAUGCGCAGAUAUCAGGAGGAACACCGAUGGCGAAGGCAGAUCUCUGGGCCGUAACUGACGCUGGAGGAAGCGAAAGCAUGGGGAGCGAACAGG
rnacentral:rRNA from 1 species